ensembl:lncRNA
UCUUUUUUUCCAUACUUCAUGGUUUUUUUUCUCACCGUAGUUUAAGAUUAAUUGUGAAGAGGUAAGAAUUUGGUUGGUGGACUCGAGGGAAGUGGACCUGGAGAGCGGCAGGAGAGGGACUUCCGGUCGGGACUGUUUGGGGCGUGGCGCUCGAGUUUGAAUCGAGGAAGGUUGGAAAUCAACAGAGGGGUUUUUGAUUGAAACUGAACGAACUAUAUAUCACUUUCGGGUGAAUAAUCUGACAUUCAGCCUAUGUUGGAUGGAUCUGGGGGGGUUGAGAAGGUUGGAGGGGAAUGGAUGAAAAUGAAGGGUAAAAAAGGGAAAAGAGAUCGUAAAAUCCCUCAGGAAGUUGAAAAUUCUACAGAUAGUGAUACAGACAGACAAGUUAAGAGUAGGAAGAUGGAGAACAAUCCAGGAGAUGAAGAAUUUAAAGUGAUUUUUAAAGUUAGAGAUGGAAAAGGGAGUUUUGGAUCGAUUAGCCCUUUGAAGUUAUCAAGCGCUAUAAAUCAAGAGAUAGGUGACAUCAGACAUGCUAAGACAAUGGCAAAUGGAAUGUUAAUGAUCAUUUGUAAAUCUUCUGAGCAGCAAAAGAAAGCCUGCAAAGUAAAGAACUUAAAUGGAAAGGGUGUAGAAGGAUUUAUUCCUGGAAAUAAUGAGUCAAUAGGAGUUAUUUAUAAUGUCUCCUUUGAAAUUACUGAGGAAGAUCUAAAAAGGAACUUAAAAGGAGGGAAAGUGACCAAAGCAAGACGUUUGGGGAAAAAACAAAGAGAUGAUGGGCGAGAAAGCUCUGCAGUAAUGUUGACAUUCAUGGAAGAAACACUACCAGAAAAAGUUAUGCUAGGCUACUUAUGCUUCAGAGUUAAGAAGUAUGAAAGGCCACCACUAAGAUGCUUUAACUGCCAGAGAUUCGGGCACGUAGCAGUGGCUUGCAAGGGUAAACGCAGAUGUGGGAAAUGUAGCGAAGAUCAUGAUUUCAAAGAAUGUAAAAGUCAGAUCAAAUGCUGUAAUUGUGGGGGUAGUCAUGUAGCUGCAUUUAGGGGAUGCCCAGUCCAUGCAAAAGCUGAAGCAGUACAGAAGAUGAGGGACGAGAAUAAGUUGUCAUAUGCAGAAGCGUUAAAAAGAAUUGAGAGAACAAGUGUUUGUCAUGAAGUAGGUGUGGUAAAACAACAACAGAUGUGGGAGAAAACGCCCGAUGAUGACAUAGUUAUCAAAAAGGCAGAAUUUUUAGCUUUUUUCUCAGAAGCUGUGUGGAGGAUUAUGGAGAGAGCUAAGAAUAAAUCAGAUGUUGCAAGGGAAGUAGUUGCGGUGGCGGAUAGAUUUCUAGGGAUCAAAGAUAUUCAGCCAGAAAUGCUGUAUAAGUAUAUGCAUGGAGGAUUAACAGGAAGCCAGCAAGCUCCGUUCAUUAGAGAGAAAGGUAAAUCUGGGGAAAGACGUGAGUCAUCAGAGGACGAAAUGGGUUAAGUAUUAAAUAUGUUUUAUAUACUGCAGUGGAAUGCUAGGAGUUUAGUAGCCAAUGGGCAGGAAUUUAAGAAAUUUGUUGAUGCUUUUGUAGACCGACCAGAUGUGAUAUGUGUACAGGAGACAUGGCUUAGACCAAACCUGGAUUUUGU